UGUAAAUUUUAAAGAUUACCUAAGACAGCAGGAGCUGAUUUUUCAGCUUAAUAAUAAUCCUGCCGAGGCAAAUAAAAAUGACUUGAAUGAACUAUAUAAAUUCAAGCACUUUUUGCCGCGGGUAAAAGGUGCUUUUUUAUUUGCACC
rnacentral:sRNA from 1 species